AGAAAUUAGCAUAUGGCUUCAUCCUGUGAGCACCAGGCGAUUCAAUGCAAGCAGAUAAAUCAGUGAUGGGGAAUAUUUACAGGCUGUUGCACUGAAAUAAGGUUUUGUUUUGUUUUGUUUUGUUUUUGUUUGCCCCAGACCCAGAGUACAGACAAGGCACCAUCCACCUACAGUUCGAUGUACAGAUGUGUCUGACAUUGAUAUGCUGUAACACAACUGUAUGCGUGGAAUAUUCCUUCCAGUACAGCAUGACCAGUGGUGAAUGUCCUCAUUUUCCCAGGGUACCAAACCAGUGGAUUGAGAAAAGAGGAAACAAAAAAGAGCAAGGCGUGAAAUGUCACUGCAUGUCAGCCUCAUUUGCCAAUAAAGUUUUCAGCAAGAAAAACUAGAAGAGGAUUCCAUCUCACUGAGGAGAAAUGACCAUCUAUCCCAAAGAAAAUGCUUAGUUGUCAGCUUUAUGCUGCUGGAAAUAAAGCACGGCACUCUCACA